rnacentral:lncRNA from 1 species
CCUCUGUUGAAAUAUACUGCAGCUCAACAAUAGAACUAUGCAUUAUGUAAAUAGUUAAUCCAGGUCAAUGUCAUUUUCUGGUCCCUCUACAUAGUUUCGGUUGAGUCUAUUCUUGCGAUAUCAGUGAUAUAUAUUCUAUUAUUAUAAUGUUAAAUGACAUAAUCUAUCGACAGGGAUUUCUUAAUUCAUUUAAUAGAACAGAGAAUAUAUUUUCACUGAUAGUCAAGAAAAUGACAUUUUGAAAUUAGAAGUACCAGCGGUUAGUUCUUUUUUGAAAAUGUAUAUCCCAGAUGUAGGUACAUGUAAGUUGGUAUAUUGUGACUAAUUUCGGGGAAGUGGUAAUUUCCAAAUUUAAAUCGUCUUUUUGUUUUAGAUUCUAGUACUUAGAUAAGGAAUAUAUUGAUGUAAAACUGAACAAGUUACUGUAAAUUCAGAAAUUGUUUGCGUGCAUUUAUUAUUGCGAUUUAGUUAUUUUGGACUAAAAUACCAUUUAAUAUUUGCAACUAGUACAUAGACCAAAAACCUGUUUAAAUCUCCAUAUGUAGAUUGUAUUAGGUGCUUAUCAUUUGAGCUUAACAUCUGCAUGUAAUCAUCUUGGUCAAUGAUUAAUAUUAUCUAAAUGUGUCAAUACGAUUUGUUAAAAUUGCUUUGGAAAUUCCCAACAAAUGUUGAUAUAAAAGGCCGUUAGAACAUCAAAUAUUUACUUUUAUUAAUUUCGUGAUUGUAACUGCAAAACUUUUGCUUUUACUGUCCUUGUCAUUGCACGUCGACAAGGUUCAGGUAAGAGUUAUUUUGUAACUUAUUCACAUUAGUUUGUCUAUAUUCAAUUUGAUUACAUCGUCCAUAAUUUGGCAAAGUGCGAUAUUUCAAAAUAGUUCUUUAAUAGAAGCCCACCCACAAGAUCAUGAUGUAUUUAUCAGUUCUUUUGUUCCGACGUUGGAAAGUUCCGGGUGGAAAAAAAAAUUAACAAGCCAAAAAGUUCCAGAGGAACUUAUUAACUAGUUAUUUUGUUCUUCCUCUAGUUUAAAAGUUCCACCGGAACAAAGUGACUAGUUGAAAAGUUCCAACGGAAAAUAUCAACUAGUUAAAAAGUUCCUUUUUGUCAAAUUAGUCAAAACCGAAACUUACAAUCUUGCCCAAAAGUUCCAUCGGAACUUAUCAUCUAGUCACACAGUUCCAUUUGAAGAAUUCGUGCAAAGUAAAAUAACGGAAUAACUUCUAAUUUAUUGGUAAACAUUAAUCUGAAAUUAAUAUUUUUAAAAGUACCCACAUGAGAAGGGGGUAUUAUUUCCUUCAACUAGCUACAUUGUUCCGGGACUUUUCAACUAGCUACUUUUUUCCGGAACUUUUCGACUGCACUCGGAAUAAAACAACUAGUUGAAAAGUUCCGCCAGAACAAAGUAACUGACGGGACAUAGUGACUAAUACAUACCUGUCUAUUUUGUCGUAAAAUUCCCCAAAAAUUUUCAACCUUUUGUUUUACUUCAUUCGAUUGAUAAACUUUCACUCUGCAUUCUGUGUUGUGUUCAUAACACGAAUUCUAAAUCCGUUCACACUAGGUGUAUUGGAACUUCUGGGAAAGAAAGAGAGGAAUAUAACAUGUAUCAGCGGAAUACUUAAACUCACAUUAAGAAAACAUACUAACAACGAUACAACAGAAUACAAAACAAAACGUACAUAGUUUUUUAGACUAAACACCACGGAAGUCCAUCAAAUGGGAUGAUGUCCAGUAACCGAGAAUUCCUUUCUGCGGAAAUAAAAAAAAAUAAACAAUUGAUAUUAUGAGUCCAUCCCCAAUUUUUUAGAAUGAAUGAAAUAGACUCGACCAAAAUGUUGAUAACCUUAAGUCAGAUACCAGAAGUUUUACAACGUACACAGCUACUUUUGCAUAGGUACUACUUAUGUACUUAAAAUUUGUAGUACUUGAAAUGUACUUGUCAUAUUUAUAGUCGCCGUCACGUAAAAUUGGCACCAUGUUUUUUGUCAAAAUUUUCUUAAAUAUCGACCGCGUUUACUAAAGAUCAUGUUUUUCAAUUAGCGGAAUCAAAUAUCAUUCCAAAAAUCAACUACUGUCCUACCUUUUAUUGUGUUUGCACUGUAUAAUCCUGACCUUCACAUAAUCCAAGAUUAAUUUGAAUGGUGGAAUCCGACAUUGUUAUUACCGGAAGUGUUGCCGUGGAGUUCCACGUGCUCUCCAUUUUCUUGUGUCUCUCGGAGCUUUUCGUCAUCUUUACGUAAAAAGCGCGGGAAAUUGUAUCAUCAAUGACAAUGAUAUUACCGGAGAGUAACGAAUGUUAUGGAAUAAGGGACCCUCAUAGAAACCAAGAUGGCGGUUAUACAAUGUAAAUAAUCUUGAAAAAUGUGAAGGUCAGGAUUAUACAGUGGAAACACAAUAAAAGGUAGGACAGUAGUGGAUAUUUGGACAGGAUUUCACUUCCGCUAAAAGAAUAACACUAUCUUGAGUAAACGCGGCUGAUAUUUAAAAAAAAAUUAACAAAAAACAUGGUGCCAAUUUUACGUGACGGCGACUAUAGUACUAUUUCUCUACUGUAAAAUUAUUGUAAUAAAUAUGUACUUUUAUUUUCGAGUACUUGACUGUACUUCAAAUAUUGGUACAAAAUUAAUACCAACAAUGAUCACAGUAUUACAUGUUUGAACAUCAUGACUAUAAGAUAAUUAAAAUAGACAAACUGUCAAAAUGCUGAAAAUAUAUCUGUGUAACCUGUAUCUGUAGUACUUAAAUUUCAAGUAAUAUCAAGAACUGUAAAAUUCAGGUACCUAAAUAUUACAAUAAUUUUAAAGUAACACAAUAGUACUGAAUACUAAAAGUAGAUUUCCAGUACUACACAUGUUUGGUACAGAAAUAGUACCUAUUUUAAAGUAGAUGUGUACACUAUACGUUUAUCAAGUCAUGUUAUCUGUUAACCGGUAUUUGCAUAGUUCAUUGUAUGAUAGAGAUUAUGUCAUGUGUCACUUAACCUAUCAAUAUAUAGUUUAAUAUAGUGCGGGAAGCUUACAUAUUCAAAGUUCUAUUGUUUAUUCAUUCAUUACUUUUAUAACUCUGAUAUAUCAUCCUAUACUUGUCUAUUUUAAGAAAUCUAAUUAAAUAUAUACAAUUGUAUUAUUGUAACUAAGUCGUUCGGCAUUAUGCAUGUUAGUUUAUAAGUAUUUAUUUCCGUAUUUUUCUAUUUGUUGCAGGUUUGGGAUAUAGAAGAUAUGUGCAGUAUAACCGUUCCAUGAGUACGACGGUAGACACGGCGGCUGUGUGAUUUGUUCUAUGAAGAAAGGAAAACAAAUUUGGAAGAAAGCCUUUGCAGAUAAAACAUGUGUCUUAAACAUACUCAAUUUUUACAAGUUGUCUUUGCUUGGGUCAAUAUGGCAUUCCAGUUUUUCGAUUGUUUGACAUAUUGUGAAUUUAGAUUCAAUUGGAAUAACCA